GAUGAACGCUGGCGGCGUGCCUAAUACAUGCAAGUCGAGCGAACAGACGAGGAGCUUGCUCCUCUGACGUUAGCGGCGGACGGGUGAGUAACACGUGGAUAACCUACCUAUAAGACUGGGAUAGCUUCGGGAAACCGGAGCUAAUACCGGAUAAUAUAUUGAACCGCAUGGUUCAAUAGUGAAAGACGGUUUUGCUGUCACUUAUAGAUGGAUCCGCGCCGCAUUAGCUAGUUGGUAAGGUAGCGGCUUACCAAGGCAACGAUGCGUAGCCGACCUGAGAGGGUGAUCGGCCACACUGGAACUGAGACACGGUCCAGACUCCUACGGGAGGCAGCAGUAGGGAAUCUUCCGCAAUGGGCGAAAGCCUGACGGAGCAACGCCGCGUGAGUGAUGAAGGUCUUCGGAUCGUAAAACUCUGUUAUUAGGGAAGAACAAAUGUGUAAGUAACUAUGCACGUCUUGACGGUACCUAAUCAGAAAGCCACGGCUAACUACGUG
rnacentral:rRNA from 1 species